ensembl:ncRNA T01C8.10 ncRNA
UGGAAUCCGGCAAUGACAGCUGGAUUGUUGACGACGACAGUAAGGUUUCCGACACGCUCGUCUGAAAUUUUGAAGUAUUUUACUUUUCAUCUUCUAUUCAAAACUUACUGUAAAGUCCAAAGUUCUUGGCAAAUGAUUGGGACACAA